GACGAACGCUGGCGGCGUGCCUAAUACAUGCAAGUCGAGCGGAUCAAAGUGAAAGCUUGCUUUCACGUUGGUUAGCGGCGGACGGGUGAGUAACACGUAGGUAACCUGCCCGACAGACUGGGAUAACAUUCGGAAACGAAUGCUAAUACCGGAUACGCGAUUUCCUCGCAUGGGGGAAUCGGGAAAGACGGAGCAAUCUGUCACUGUUGGAUGGACCUGCGGCGCAUUAGCUAGUUGGUGAGGUAACGGCUCACCAAGGCGACGAUGCGUAGCCGACCUGAGAGGGUGAUCGGCCACACUGGGACUGAGACACGGCCCAGACUCCUACGGGAGGCAGCAGUAGGGAAUCUUCCGCAAUGGGCGAAAGCCUGACGGAGCAACGCCGCGUGAGUGAUGAAGGUUUUCGGAUCGUAAAGCUCUGUUGCCAGGGAAGAACGCUCAGGAGAGUAACUGCUCCUGAGGUGACGGUACCUGAGAAGAAAGCCCCGGCUAACUACGUGCCAGCCGCCGCUGUAAAAC
rnacentral:rRNA from 1 species